CCUACGGGCGGCAGCAGUGAGGAAUAUUGGUCAAUGGGCGGAAGCCUGAACCAGCCAAGUCGCGUGAGGGAAUAAGGCCCUACGGGUCGUAAACCUCUUUUGCCGGGGAGCAAGGGCCGGGACGAGUCCCGGUUCGGAGAGUACCCGGAGAAACAGCAUCGGCUAACUCCGUGCCAGCAGCCGGGGUAAUACGGAGGAUGCGAGGUUUAUCCGGAUUUUUGGGGUUUAAAGGGUGCGUAGCCGGGCUUUUAAGUCAGCGGUAAAAAUUCGGGGCUCAACCCCGUCCUGCCGUUGAAACUGGGGGCCUUGAGUGGGCGAGAAGAAGGCGGAAUGCGUGGUGUAGCGGUGAAAUGCAUAGAUAUCACGCAGAACCCCGAUUGCGAAGGCAGCCUUCCGGCGCCCUACUGACGCUGAGGCACGAAAGUGCGGGGAUCGAACAGGAUUAGAUACCCGUGUAGUC
rnacentral:rRNA from 1 species